GACCGUGUGGCCUAGUGGUUAGGGCGUCCCCUUUACACGGGGAAGAUCGAGGGUUCAAUCCCCUCCGUGGUCA
rnacentral:tRNA from 1 species